UUGAAAGGGAAACGAUUGAAGUCAGUCGUACCGAUGGACAAUCAGCCUUUUGAGAGCGAUUCUGUGGGGCAUGAGGAGGAAACCCUCGUGUUUUGCAUAUUUGUGCUCUUUGGGUGUAUUUGCUCGUAUGGUGGGUUAACAUCAAUUUUGGUCGUCAUAAAAUGACGGGAGGAAUGUAGCUUUGGUCCCGUAUUGAAGUGUUAUAGCCUCUGGUAGAUGUGACGACCGGGAUUGAGGAUUGCAACGGAUACCCCUCGGGGCUACUCGCCUGAUCUCUGAUCGUUACUCUGGUGCCGAAAGCUUGCUUAUGUCAUCAAAGUUGAUGGUCAAAAGGUUAGAACGGGUUAAAUUCGUUAAGGAUGUUGACGUA
rnacentral:rRNA from 1 species